AACGAACGCUGGCGGCGUGCUUUAUACAUGCAAGUCGAACGAGAAAGCCCUUCGGGGUGAGUAGAGUGGCGCACGGGUGAGUAAUACAUAGGAACGUACCUUCUGGAGGGGGAUAACCACGGGAAACUGUGGCUAAUACCGCAUAACCUCGAGAGAGCAAAGAUGGCCUCUACUUGUAAGCUAUCACCAGAAGAUCGGCCUAUGUCCCAUUAGCUAGUUGGUGGGGUAAUGGCCCACCAAGGCGACGAUGGGUAGCUGGUCUGAGAGGAUGAUCAGCCACACUGGAACUGAGACACGGUCCAGACUCCUACGGGUGGCAG
rnacentral:rRNA from 1 species